GCUCGGGUAGCUCAGUGGUAGAGCGCCUGCCUGAAGAGCAGGGCGUCGGUGGUUCAAUCCCAUCCCCGAGCACCA
rnacentral:tRNA from 1 species